rnacentral:rRNA from 1 species
GACGUAGGGGGCCAGCGUUGUUCGGAAUUACUGGGUGUAAAGGGUUCGUAGGCGGUGCGGCAAGUCGGGAGUGAAAUCUCUGGGCUUAACCCAGAGGCUGCUUCCGAAACUGCUGUGCUUGAGUGUGGGAGAGGCGCGUGGAAUUGCAGGUGUAGCGGUGAAAUGCGUAGAUAUCUGCAGGAACACCGGUGGCGAAGGCGGCUUCCUGGACAAUUACUGACGCUGAGACGCGAAAGCGUGGGGAGCAAACAGG